GAUGAAGCUUCCCUCUCAAUACCCACAAUAGAGGUUAAAUUUCAACAUAUGAAUCCCUGGGGACACACCCAAGCCACAUCCAAAGCAUGGCCCAUCCUCUCUCCUGUGACAACUAGUUCUUUGCAUCUGGCUAACUAUACCAUAGCUGUGCAUGUGUGAAGUUAAACUGAUUUUCUCCAGAAAGCUUGCCCAACCUGUACUAGAUUCUUGUUUCUCCACCCUAAGCCCUGGGUUAGGUACUCUGGCCCUGGGCCAUACAAUACUUACUGAGGUGCUAGCAACACUCUAUCACUAAAGACAGGUACAGUUUGAAUGUGUCUCCCAAAAUCUAUGGGUUGGAAACUCAAUCCCCAAAUUUGAAUGUUAAUAGUGUAUGGAGGGGGCCCUUUGAGGGGAGACAUCUGGGACUAGAUGAGAUCAUGAGGGUAAGGCUAUUAUGACAGUAUUAUAAGAAGAGGAAGAGAGACUUGAGCUGUGGUGGGGGAUGCUGCUCAGUGUUAGAGCACUUGGCCCACACACAUAAGCCCCUCCCUGGCUAGAUCUCCAGCAUCACAAAAAAAAAAAAGCAGUCAGAGACCUCAGCUGGGACACUUGCUCUGUCUCCACCACGUGAUGUCCUAUGCCAUGUCACAAUGCAAAAAGAAGGCCCUCACCAGAUGUCAAGUGGAGGCCAGAGCCAUCCUUCUAUCUUCCCAGCCUCUGGAACCAUGAGUAAAUACACUCCUGUUCUUUCUAAAUUAUUCAGUCUAGAUAGAACAUUUUAUUGCAGCAACAGAAAAUGAACUAAGGUCCAUGAAAGAUAGCAGAAGAAAGGGCCUCUUGCCUUCAGGGGAAAGGAUGAAGACUUACAGCUAAGAUUUGGAGAUCUAAAGAGUGGGAAACCAGACACUUGAGCGUGAAGACCAAGGAAACUUGUAAAAGCAGAAAAGCUGGGCACACUUCAAAGGAGAGACAGCUUGAACAGAAAGGGAAAGUCCUACAGGGAGUCACGAAGCCUGCUAUAUCACAGUCAGUUUCCUCAUCUGCUGAGUAAGCUUUGAGACUGUCAAGGUCCCUUCCAGUCCUAAUACGAAAAGCUUCUGCUUUCUCAUCAUGAGAGGCUACUUCACCACAGCACUCACCACUGGGCAAUGAGAAGAUGCCCAAGAGCCACUCAGACCCUGGAAAACCAAAACGCACACUGACUUGAUAACUACAUCAUAGGAAAUGCCACAAUUUUGAGAUUACACCUACAGAUCGACUGGCUAGAAAUAAACCAAUUGCUGAAUCUUCCAAAGUUCUUCCAAAAGACAGUAUCACAUUCUACCUUGAUAAAGGCAAUGGCUUCUUCCAUGCCUGACUUUCACAGCUAAUGCUCUGUCCCAAAAUCCACUUCCACCCCCUGGCCCCUUCCCCUCGUGCCUGGGGCCUGGGGUGCUGCCCACCACUGCUUCCCCAAAGCCUACUCUGCCCUUCCCACAGCACCAGCACCCAGUUCGAAAGAGCUAGAGGGAUAGGAGCUGCCUCAGGUAGUGGCAGAGGACCCAAAAGGAGAUCUCUGGAGUGGCUAGGAACUUUCUCAUCCU